AAAUUCCUGGUGUAGCGGUGAAAUGCGCAGAUAUCAGGAGGAACACCGAUGGCGAAGGCAGGUCUCUGGGCAUUAACUGACGCUGAGGAGCGAAAGCAUGGGGAGCGAACAGGAUUAGAUACCCUGGUAGUCCAUGCCGUAAACGUUGGGCACUAGGUGUGGGGGACAUUCCACGUUUUCCGCGCCGUAGCUAACGCAUUAAGUGCCCCGCCUGGGGAGUACGGCCGCAAGGCUAAAACUCAAAGGAAUUGACGGGGGCCCGCACAAGCGGCGGAGCAUGCGGAUUAAUUCGAUGCAACGCGAAGAACCUUACCAAGGCUUGACAUGGACCGGACCGCCGCAGAAAUGUGGUUUCCCCUUUGGGGCUGGUUUACAGGUGGUGCAUGGUUGUCGUCAGCUCGUGUCGUGAGAUGUUGGGUUAAGUCCCGCAACGAGCGCAACCCUCGUUCUAUGUUGCCAGCACGUGAUGGUGGGGACUCAUAGGAGACUGCCGGGGUCAACUCGGAGGAAGGUGGGGACGACGUCAAAUCAUCAUGCCCCUUAUGUCUUGGGCUUCACGCAUGCUACAAUGGCCGGUACAAAGGGUUGCGAUACUGUGAGGUGGAGCUAAUCCCAAAAAGCCGGUCUCAGUUCGGAUUGGGGUCUGCAACUCGACCCCAUGAAGUCGGAGUCGCUAGUAAUCGCAGAUCAGCAACGCUGCGGUGAAUACGUUCCCGGGCCUUGUACACACCGCCCGUCAAGUCACGAAAGUUGGUAACACCCGAAGCCGGUGGGCUAACCCCUUGUGGGAGGGAGCCGUCGAAGUGGGACUGGCGAUUGGGACGAAGUCGUACAGGG
rnacentral:rRNA from 1 species